AGAGUUUGAUCAUGGCUCAGAUUGAACGCUGGCGGCAGGCCUAACACAUGCAAGUCGAGCGGUAGAGAGAAGCUUGCUUCUCUUGAGAGCGGCGGACGGGUGAGUAAUGCCUAGGAAUCUGCCUGGUAGUGGGGGAUAACGUCCGGAAACGGACGCUAAUACCGCAUACGUCCUACGGGAGAAAGCAGGGGACCUUCGGGCCUUGCGCUAUCAGAUGAGCCUAGGUCGGAUUAGCUAGUUGGUGGGGUAAUGGCUCACCAAGGCGACGAUCCGUAACUGGUCUGAGAGGAUGAUCAGUCACACUGGAACUGAGACACGGUCCAGACUCCUACGGGAGGCAGCAGUGGGGAAUAUUGGACAAUGGGCGAAAGCCUGAUCCAGCCAUGCCGCGUGUGUGAAGAAGGUCUUCGGAUUGUAAAGCACUUUAAGUUGGGAGGAAGGGCAGUAAAUUAAUACUUUGCUGUUUUGACGUUACCGACAGAAUAAGCACCGGCUAACUCUGUGCCAGCAGCCGCGGUAAUACAGAGGGUGCAAGCGUUAAUCGGAAUUACUGGGCGUAAAGCGCGCGUAGGUGGUUCGUUAAGUUGGAUGUGAAAUCCCCGGGCUCAACCUGGGAACUGCAUUCAAAACUGACGAGCUAGAGUAUGGUAGAGGGUGGUGGAAUUUCCUGUGUAGCGGUGAAAUGCGUAGAUAUAGGAAGGAACACCAGUGGCGAAGGCGACCACCUGGACUGAUACUGACACUGAGGUGCGAAAGCGUGGGGAGCAAACAGGAUUAGAUACCCUGGUAGUCCACGCCGUAAACGAUGUCAACUAGCCGUUGGGAGCCUUGAGCUCUUAGUGGCGCAGCUAACGCAUUAAGUUGACCGCCUGGGGAGUACGGCCGCAAGGUUAAAACUCAAAUGAAUUGACGGGGGCCCGCACAAGCGGUG
rnacentral:rRNA from 1 species